rnacentral:rRNA from 1 species
GGUUAAGCGACUAAGCGUACACGGUGGAUGCCCUGGCAGUCAGAGGCGAUGAAGGACGUGCUAAUCUGCGAAAAGCGCCGGCGAGGUGAUAUGAACCUUUGACCCGUCGAUGUCCGAAUGGGGAAACCCAGUGUGUUCCGACACACUAUCGUUAACUGAAUACAUAGGUUAACGAGGCGAACCGGGGGAACUGAAACAUCUAAGUACCCCGAGGAAAAGAAAUCAACCGAGAUUCCCCCAGUAGCGGCGAGCGAACGGGGAGCAGCCCGGAGUCUGAAUCAGCUUGUGUGUUAGUGGAACGGUCUGGAAAGUCCGACGGUACAGGGUGAUAGUCCCGUACACGAAAAUACACUUGCUGUGAACUCGAAGAGUAGGGCGGGACACGUGGUAUCCUGUCUGAAUAUGGGGGGACCAUCCUCCAAGGCUAAAUACUCCUGACUGACCGAUAGUGAACCAGUACCGUGAGGGAAAGGCGAAAAGAACCCCGGCGAGGGGAGUGAAAAAGAACCUGAAACCGUGUACGUACAAGCAGUGGGAGCACCUUCGGGUGUGACUGCGUACCUUUUGUAUAAUGGGUCAGCGACUUAUAUUCUGUAGCAAGGUUAACCGUAUAGGGGAGCCGAAGGGAAACCGAGUCUUAACUGGGCGUUAAGUUGCAGGGUAUAGACCCGAAACCCGGUGAUCUAGCCAUGGGCAGGUUGAAGGUUGGGUAACACUAACUGGAGGACCGAACCGACUAAUGUUGAAAAAUUAGCGGAUGACCUGUGGCUGGGGGUGAAAGGCCAAUCAAACCGGGAGAUAGCUGGUUCUCCCCGAAAGCUAUUUAGGUAGCGCCUCGUGAACUCAUCUUCGGGGGUAGAGCACUGUUUCGGCUAGGGGGCCAUCCCGGCUUACCAACCCGAUGCAAACUACGAAUACCGAAGAAUGUUAUCACGGGAGACACACGGCGGGUGCUAACGUCCGUCGUGAAGAGGGAAACAACCCAGACCGCCAGCUAAGGUCCCAAAGUCAUGGUUAAGUGGGAAACGAUGUGGGAAGGCACAGACAGCCAGGAUGUUGGCUUAGAAGCAGCCAUCAUUUAAAGAAAGCGUAAUAGCUCACUGGUCGAGUCGGCCUGCGCGGAAGAUGUAACGGGGCUAAACCAUGCACCGAAGCUGCGGCAGCGACACUAUGUGUUGUUGGGUAGGGGAGCGUUCUGUAAGCCGUUGAAGGUGUGCUGUGAGGCAUGCUGGAGGUAUCAGAAGUGCGAAUGCUGACAUAAGUAACGAUAAAGCGGGUGAAAAGCCCGCUCGCCGGAAGACCAAGGGUUCCUGUCCAACGUUAAUCGGGGCAGGGUGAGUCGACCCCUAAGGCGAGGCCGAAAGGCGUAGUCGAUGGGAAACAGGUUAAUAUUCCUGUACUUGGUGUUACUGCGAAGGGGGGACGGAGAAGGCUAUGUCAGCCGGGCGACGGUUGUCCCGGUUUAAGCAUGUAGGCGGAGGUUCCAGGUAAAUCCGGUACCUUAUUAACGCUGAGGUGUGAUGACGAGGCACUACGGUGCUGAAGUGAUAAAUGCCCUGCUUCCAGGAAAAGCCUCUAAGCAUCAGGUAACACGAAAUCGUACCCCAAACCGACACAGGUGGUCAGGUAGAGAAUACCAAGGCGCUUGAGAGAACUCGGGUGAAGGAACUAGGCAAAAUGGUGCCGUAACUUCGGGAGAAGGCACGCUGAUAUGUAGGUGAAGCCCCUGCGGGCGGAGCUGAAAUCAGUCGAAGAUACCAGCUGGCUGCAACUGUUUAUUAAAAACACAGCACUGUGCAAACACGAAAGUGGACGUAUACGGUGUGACGCCUGCCCGGUGCCGGAAGGUUAAUUGAUGGGGUUAGCGGCAACGCGAAGCUCUUGAUCGAAGCCCCGGUAAACGGCGGCCGUAACUAUAACGGUCCUAAGGUAGCGAAAUUCCUUGUCGGGUAAGUUCCGACCUGCACGAAUGGCGUAAUGAUGGCCAGGCUGUCUCCACCCGAGACUCAGUGAAAUUGAACUCGCUGUGAAGAUGCAGUGUACCCGCGGCAAGACGGAAAGACCCCGUGAACCUUUACUAUAGCUUGACACUGAACACUGGUCCUUGAUGUGUAGGAUAGGUGGGAGGCUUUGAAGCGUGGACGCCAGUCUGCGUGGAGCCGUCCUUGAAAUACCACCCUUUAAUGGCUGGUGUUCUAACGUAGACCCGUGAUCCGGGUUGCGGACAGUGUCUGGUGGGUAGUUUGACUGGGGCGGUCUCCUCCCAAAGAGUAACGGAGGAGCACGAAGGUUGGCUAAUCCUGGUCGGACAUCAGGAGGUUAGUGCAAUGGCAUAAGCCAGCUUGACUGCGAGCGUGACGGCGCGAGCAGGUGCGAAAGCAGGUCAUAGUGAUCCGGUGGUUCUGAAUGGAAGGGCCAUCGCUCAACGGAUAAAAGGUACUCCGGGGAUAACAGGCUGAUACCGCCCAAGAGUUCAUAUCGACGGCGGUGUUUGGCACCUCGAUGUCGGCUCAUCACAUCCUGGGGCUGAAGUAGGUCCCAAGGGUAUGGCUGUUCGCCAUUUAAAGUGGUACGCGAGCUGGGUUUAGAACGUCGUGAGACAGUUCGGUCCCUAUCUGCCGUGGGCGCUGGAGAAUUGAGGGGGGCUGCUCCUAGUACGAGAGGACCGGAGUGGACGCAUCACUGGUGUUCGGGUUGUCAUGCCAAUGGCACUGCCCGGUAGCUAAAUGCGGAAGAGAUAAGUGCUGAAAGCAUCUAAGCACGAAACUUGCCCCGAGAUGAGUUCUCCCUGAGACUUUAAGUCUCCUGAAGGAACGUUGAAGACGACGACGUUGAUAGGUCGGGUGUGUAAGCGCAGCGAUGCGUUGAGCUAACCGAUACUAAUGAACCGUGAGGCUUAACCUU